UUAGUUUCUUAUUAUAAUAUAAUUAUUAUUACUAUUAUUUUGCUAAUGAUCAAUACACUAUUACAAUAUAAUUAUUAUUAUUUUGUUAAUAACCAAUAUACCCUUAUUAAAAAUAUAGGGUAAUACAUACUCCUCACCUUAUGAAAUUCGAUCCCCGAAUAUACUCAAGUACGUACCUGUAUAAUGAAACAAAUGGAGGUACUUGACUCGCAUAGUAUCUUCUAUUUCCCAAGUAGCUUCUUCAACUGUAUGAUUUAUCCAUAAGAGUUUCACGAACACGAUUUCUUUUGUUCGUAGUUUUCUUAUUUCUCUAUC
rnacentral:lncRNA from 1 species